rnacentral:rRNA from 1 species
GAUGAACGCUGGCGGCGUGCCUAAUACAUGCAAGUCGAGCGAACAGACGAGGAGCUUGCUCCUCUGACGUUAGCGGCGGACGGGUGAGUAACACGUGGAUAACCUACCUAUAAGACUGGGAUAACUUCGGGAAACCGGAGCUAAUACCGGAUAAUAUAUUGAACCGCAUGGUUCAAGAGUGAAAGACGGUUUUGCUGUCACUUAUAGAUGGAUCCGCUCCGCAUUAGCUAGUUGGUAAGGUAACGGCUUACCAAGGCAACGAUGCGUAGCCGACCUGAGAGGGUGAUCGGCCACACUGGAACUGAGACACGGUCCAGACUCCUACGGGAGGCAGCAGUAGGGAAUCUUCCGCAAUGGGCGAAAGCCUGACGGAGCAACGCCGCGUGAGUGAUGAAGGUCUUCGGAUCGUAAACCUCUGUUAUUAGGGAAGAACAAAUGUGUAAGUAACUAUGCACGUCUUGACGGUACCUAAUCAGAAAGCCACGGCUAACUACGUG